rnacentral:rRNA from 1 species
UACAGAGGUGGCAAGCGUUGUUCGGAAUUACUGGGCGUAAAGGGCGCGUAGGCGGCUUGACAAGUCAAAGGUGAAAUCCCUCGGCUCAACUGAGGAACUGCCUUUGAAACUGUCUGGCUUGAGGCCGGUAGAGGGUAGUGGAAUUCCCAGUGUAGCGGUGAAAUGCGUAGAUAUUGGGAGGAACACCAGUGGCGAAGGCGGCUCACUGGACCGGAACUGACGCUGAGGCGCGAAAGCGUGGGGAGCAAACGGG